UACGUAGGGACCAAGCGUUGUUCGGAUUUACUGGGCGUAAAGCGCGUGUAGGCGGCUCGGCAAGUCGGGUGUGAAAGCCCUGGGCUUAACCUAGGAAGUGCACUCGAAACUGCCAAGCUUGAGUUCUGGAGAGGAAGGCGGAAUUCCCGGUGUAGUGGUGAAAUACGUAGAGAUUGGGAAGAACACCAGUGGCGAAGGCGGCUAUCUGGACGGUUUCUGACACUAAGACUCGAAAGCGUGGGGAGCAAACAGG
rnacentral:rRNA from 1 species